rnacentral:rRNA from 1 species
UACGUAGGGGCUAGCGUUGUCCGGAUUAUUGGGCGUAAAGCGCGUGUAGGCGGCCAGGUAGGUCCGCUGUGAAACUCGAGGCUCAACCUCGAGCUGUCGGCGGAAACCAUCUGGCUAGAGUCCGGAAGAGGAGAGUGGAAUUCCCGGUGUAGCGGUGAAAGUGCGCAGAUAUCGGGAAGAACACCCGUGGCGAAGGCGGCUCUCUGGGACGGUACUGACG